UACGGAGGGGGCUAGCGUUGUUCGGAAUUACUGGGCGUAAAGCGCACGUAGGCGGCUUUGUAAGUUAGAGGUGAAAGCCCAGGGCUUAACCCUGGAAUUGCCUUUAAGACUGCAUCGCUAGAAUUGUGGAGAGGUAAGUGGAAUUCCGAGUGUAGAGGUGAAAUUCGUAGAUAUUCGGAAGAACACCAGUGGCGAAGGCGACUUACUGGACACAUAUUGACGCUGAGGUGCGAAAGCGUGGGGAACAAACAGG
rnacentral:rRNA from 1 species